rnacentral:rRNA from 1 species
CCUACGGGAGGCUGCAGUGAGGAAUAUUGGUCAAUGGGCGGGAGCCUGAACCAGCCAAGUCGCGUGAGGGAAGACGGUCCUAUGGAUUGUAAACCUCUUUAGGCGGGGAGCAAUGCCGGGCACGCGUGCCCGGAGGGAGAGUACCCGCAGAAUAAGCAUCGGCUAACUCCGUGCCAGCAGCCGCGGUAAUACGGAGGAUGCGAGCGUUAUCCGGAUUUAUUGGGUUUAAAGGGUGCGUAGGCGGAUUUUUAAGUCAGCGGUAAAAGGUCCGGGCUCAACCCGGGCCGGCCGUUGAAACUGGGGAUCUUGAGUGGGAGAGAAGUAUGCGGAAUGCGUGGUGUAGCGGUGAAAUGCAUAGAUAUCACGCAGAACUCCGAUUGCGAAGGCAGCAUACCGGCGCCCGACUGACGCUGAGGCACGAAAGCGUGGGUAUCGAACAGGAUUAGAUACCCCAGUAGUC